GAAUUACUGAUACUUAGAUAAUAAUAAAUCAGAACACAAAGUACGUGGUUACAAUCACGGCUUAAGAUAAGAUACGGAAGGCACUGCAAAAUAAUUAUCGGAUAAUUAUUUUAGUGGUGUGACUGAUAUCUCAAAUGCAUUGAUCGGUCAUUCGCUGACUUUGCUGACGUGACAAUAUAAUCGAUUUAUUCAAUCAAAUCGGUAUUUCAUGUGACAAUAAUUACGACACUGGCAUGCGGAAUAUGUCGGAACAUAUUUUUUAAGUAAUCAAUUAUCGAGAUGUCGCUAUAAAAGUAAAAUCGAAAUUAAGAAAAGGCUAGUAAGGUCAUACUUUGGAAACAAUAGAUGAGGUCAUUGGAAACAUUUUAGAGAGCUGGCCUACAUUCCUCUGGGAAGCCGCCAGAACUUUAAAACCUUAUUUAGAAUUCAGCAAACAACACACUAAAUAGAUAAAUACAUUUUCUUAAUAAACCAGAAAGAAAUAGAUACUUAUUUAAUUAAAGAGGAAGAUGUAAGAUAGGUUUUAGAUUUUACUUUAUUGGAAACAAGAGGAAUAUAAGCUUUAAGCAAAAAAACCUAAAGUCGAAAUUUAAUUGAUCUUUUCGCUAUAAAUGUAUCUGGAUUCCGCAUUUCAUAGAAAUAAAACUGUUUUUUAAAUAAA